rnacentral:rRNA from 1 species
UACGUAGGGUGCAAGCGUUAAUCGGAAUUACUGGGCGUAAAGCGUGCGCAGGCGGUUAUGUAAGACAGUUGUGAAAUCCCCCGGGCUCAACCUGGGAACUGCAUCUGUGACUGCAUAGCUAGAGUACGGUAGAGGGGGAUGGAAUUCCGCGUGUAGCAGUGAAAUGCGUAGAUAUGCGGAGGAACACCGAUGGCGAAGGCAAUCCCCCUGGACCUGUACUGACGCUCAUGCACGAAAGCGUGGGGGAGCAAACAGG